AAGGAACAAGGUUUCCGUUAGUAAACUAGCGGAGGGAUUAUUAU
rnacentral:rRNA from 1 species